rnacentral:rRNA from 1 species
AGUGGGGAAUAUUGCACAAUGGAGGAAACUCUGAUGCAGCAACGCCGCGUGGAGGAUGACACAUUUCGGUGCGUAAACUCCUUUUAUAUGGGAAGAUAAUGACGGUACCAUAUGAAUAAGCACCGGCUAACUCCGUGCCAGCAGCCGCGGUAAUACGGAGGGUGCAAGCGUUACUCGGAAUCACUGGGCGUAAAGCGCGCGCAGGCGGCCUGAUAAGUUGGAUGUGAAAGCCUACGGCUCAACCGUAGAACUGCAUCCAAAACUGUCAGGCUAGAGUGUGGGAGAGGAAGAUGGAAUUAGUUGUGUAGGGGUAAAAUCCGUAGAGAUAACUAGGAAUACCAAAAGCGAAGGCAAUCUUCUGGAACACUACUGACGCUGAGGCGCGAAGGCGUGGGGAGCAAACAGGAUUAGAUACCCUGGUAGUCCACGCAGUAAACGAUGAAUGUUAGUCGUCGGGGGCCUAGUGUCUUCGGUGAUGCAGCUAACGCAUUAAACAUUCCGCCUGGGGAGUACGGUCGCAAGAUUAAAACUCAAAGGAAUAGACGGGGACCCGCACAAGUGGUGGAGCAUGUGGUUUAAUUCGAAGAUACGCGAAGAACCUUACCUAGCCUUGACAUAUUUUAGAACUCCGUAGAGAUACAGAGGUGCCUUCGGGAGCUAAUUUACAGGUGCUGCACGGCUGUCGUCAGCUCGUGUCGUGAGAUGUUGGGUUAAGUCCCGCAACGAGCGCAACCCUCGUCACUAGUUACUAACGGUUCGGCCGAGGACUCUAGUGAGACUGCCUUCGUAAGGAGGAGGAAGGUGAGGACGACGUCAAGUCAUCAUGGCCCUUACGGCUAGGGCAACACACGUGCUACAAUGGCCAGGACAGUGAGACGCGAUACCGUGAGGUGGAGCAAAUCUAUAAACCUGGUCUCAGUUCGGAUUGUAGUCUGCAACUCGACUACAUGAAGCUGGAAUCACUAGUAAUCGUAGAUCAGCUAUGCUACGGUGAAUACGU